UGCUGAGGCCCAGGUUCAAUUCCUGGUCAGGGAACAAAGAUCCCGCAAGCCACACAGCCAAGAAAAAAAAGAAGAAUGCAGCAUUUACUGGCCAGUCAUCUAAGACUGGUGGUUUGCUACAGUUAACCAAUGAUACAAUGCUGGUUUAUCCUAAUUAUUAUCUAUGAAUUAUUUUUGCCUUUCUGAGUUAGGAAACUUCUUGCAUAUCAGUUGUACAUAUUUAAAUGUUUCUGUUUUUUCACCCACCCUGAUGUUUUAAAAUUUCAGAGCCUAAGACUAUCAUAUGGUUUUGAGCCCACAGAAGAACCCUGGGUUUGCAUAGGGAUGAGUCAUUUAGUUGACAUAUACACAUUUACAUAGUUUUUAAUUGACUUGCAUGUUCAUCCUUUGCAAAAAGUACAUAAUUUUGUAUAUUUCAGAAUUGUCAAAGACUAAUUCUGCUGUUUGGUAAGUGUGUGGAAACUGCAGAGAUAUAGUUUAAACUUCUUUUAAAAGAUCAAAUUAUUUCUAAAACAAUGCUGUUUUCCUUAUUUAUGAAUUAGUAGAUACGGAAACAAGGACAAAAUUAUGAGUCACUCUCAAAAUCUCUUCAAUGCACGGCUACAUAAACUAAUAACAUUCAUAAUAGGAAUAUUUUAGCUAAUGAGAAAUCUUGACCAUAAAUUUUCAAAAUCUUACAGAGUUUUAUAACAACAGUAACAGCAAGGAUUUUUUCAAGUCAUGUUUUUGUCUCCAUCUCUAUCCCAAAGGAUGUUGAAAGAACAAAAUGUCUUGUGUGGUUUAAGCAGUGCCUUUGGAAUGUUUUCUGAAAGCAAACAGCACAUUUUUCCCCAUCGGUGACUGGAGCAGAGACCACAUGAACGUGAAUGUAGCCCCAGGUCAUUCUUUCAUUAGUGUGUGUGUGUCUCCAGUGACCCUCCUGCUGGGAACCCUAAUAGGAUUUCUUCCCCUUACACCUUUGUCUGCCCUGGCUUCUCACACUGUUCUAUGGUGUUUGGUUUAAUGAGGCAACUCCUGUGAUUAGGGGGGUGGGGUGUGGGGGGGAGCCUUUUUCCUUAAAUAGAUACAAGGAUAGCUGAGGGAAUUCAAAAUUAUGUUCUGUGUUUCUUACCAUUAUAUGUGACCCAGCAUUUGAUGACAGACCUGAGUAUGCUGAACCAGGAAGAUGACAGUAGUCACUUAAUCUCAGGUCUCAGCCAUGGCUGGGCAGGUUGCAUGUCACAGAAGAGGCUCCAUCUAGCCUUCAUAAUGUGGAAAGACAGAAGACUACCUGGGAGUGGAAAGAGAAAAAGAAACUGAGGUUCAGAGAGGGUAAAUACUUUGCUGUGGCUCACACAGCUUGGAUCUGAACCCAAGUCUGUGUCCAGAGCUCAUCUUCUCUCCAGUAUACACGCUUAUUCUCACUGCAUGGCUUUGAGUGGAAGGAGGACAUGGAGGAGUGACCAGGAAGCACCAGGUGAUGGUGAUGCAGCUGAUCUGGGGGCCAGCCUUUGAGAACCGCAACGCUAAGUGAACAGCCACACCACCUCUUGCCAAUUCAUAGUUCAAAACAUGAGCAACUUCUAACAAAUGUUUCCCAGGUUGCUCACCACAAAAAUCAAUUUCCAAAGUCUUUGGGUUGAAAUGUUUUUACACCAGGUUAAGCGUUAACAUUACAUGUUCAACCUUUCUCUUUACUGAAAAAAAAUAAACAAAAAAACACGGCUGUAAUCGUAGAAUCACCCUGCAGUUAGCUCUGGGUGAACAAAUGUCAAAGCCCUGCAAACAACUCUAAUGGAAUCUCUGAAGGGAGAAGAUGAGUGCCUGGCCUCUGAGACCGUCCUGAGAGGCAGAGGGCUGUUUGAGUGCAGAGCCAGACAAGGCACAUGCUGGGGGGAGUGGGCUGGUUUGGGAUGAUCCUGUAAUUGAUAGCGUAGGAGUUGUGUUCCUUGGAGGUUGGGAAAAGGGGAGCCUGCCAGCCACCAGCUACUCAUAUAUUUUAAUACUUAACAAAAAAAAACAGUCUUUAAGAUUACACAAGUCAUGCACAACUAUGUCACCUUUCUGAAGAAACCAGAGCAGUAAAGAUAAGGCCUCUCCAACACUGAUUCUUCUCUCCCUUUCCCCAGAACUAAUUUAUAUUGUCAAUUUGGCAUUUAUGUUGCCAGGCUCUCUUCUAUACAGUUUCUAUGGGAACAAUUGAUUACUGUUUCCUGUGAUGGUAUCAUACUCUCUUGUUUCACAACUUAUCCUUUUUUCACCCAUGGGUAUGUGCUAUGGAUUUUUCCAUGUCAGUACAUAUCUCCACCAGACUCUUCUUAAUUUUUGCAUAUUACUGCAUAACAGAACAAAUGAGGUUUAUUUAUAGACCAGCAUUGAAGUGGCUUCCUCUCCUUCCAUUUUUUGUUGUUGUUUUGUCUUGUUUUUCAAUGAUGACAAACAGUGCCCGAGGCACCAUUCUUUAUGUGCCUCCCUAUAGGCAGGUGUGGGUGUUCCUCUAAGGGACAGAUUGGGAAAGAGAACCACUGAGUCCCAGUAUUUGAAGGUUUUUUUAACCUUUUAACAGAUACUGCCAAACUGCCUCCCCCUCCCAGUAACAGGGUCACUGCUUUUCCCUUCAGCGGGCUGCUCAUGUCACCAGGUCUCACACAGUCCCAUGAAAGCAGCUCUCCUAGCUUCUGCCUGUCCUGGAGGGCUCAGACCCGAGUCUGUGGGACCAGGCUGAGGAUACAGAGCUGAGCAGACACACACCCCCUCACCUCCCCAACCCCGUUUUUCCCCUUCAACUCCAGCCACAUUUCAGGAUUAGGAAGCCCAGCUCAUCCAUUCAUCACGUGGAUAGCUGAAUCCCAUUUUUAGACUUUAGCUGAGACCUCUGGUGUACGUGACAGAUAAAGGUGUCCCAGGAAUUUCACUAUUGCUGAGCCUGCACUUCAGAAAGAAUCAUUUUCACUGGGCCUGAGAGAUAGCGCAGCGGUUCUCAUUCAUUCUCAGGACUUAGCCCUUGUGGCCCCGAAGACUUCCUGGCCUCCCUCCUCCAGGCAAGUCGAGAGCUCUUUUUGAUCUUCAGACAGAGGAUCUGUCUCCUGUCUGAUUCGGUUGCAGCCAUUUAUAGUGCUGCUGCGCCCAUCAGACUGGCUGAAUCUUGAGAACAGAUGAUUCUGCCUGCCUUUAAAUUCCCAGUUCACUGCCU